UGCCAGCAGCCGCGGUAAGACGGAGGUGGCAAACGUUGCUCGGAAUCACUGGGCUUAAAGGGCGUGUAGGCGGCCUUCUAAGCCGGAUGUGAAAGCUCCCGGCUCAACCGGGAAACAGCAUUCGAAACUGGAAGGCUAGAGUGCGGGAGGGGCAAGUGGAACUCCAGGUGUAGCGGUGAAAUGCGUAGAUAUCUGGAGGAACGCCGGUGGCGAAAGCGACUUGCUGGACCGCAACUGACGCUGAGGCGCGAAAGCGUGGGGAGCAAACAGGAUUAGAUA
rnacentral:rRNA from 1 species